rnacentral:miRNA from 15 species
ACUGUUUUCUAUUGGUGCAUAGA